rnacentral:rRNA from 1 species
CAGGUAGAGAAUACCAAGGCGCUUGAGAGAACUCGGGUGAAGGAACUAGGCAAAAUGGUGCCGUAACUUCGGGAGAAGGCACGCUGACACGUAGGUGAAGUGAUUUACUCAUGGAGCUGAAGUCAGUCGAAGAUACCAGCUGGCUGCAACUGUUUAUUAAAAACACAGCACUGUGCAAACACGAAAGUGGACGUAUACGGUGUGACGCCUGCCCGGUGCCGGAAGGUUAAUUGAUGGGGUCAGCGUAAGCGAAGCUCCUGAUCGAAGCCCCGGUAAACGGCGGCCGUAACUAUAACGGUCCUAAGGUAGCGAAAUUCCUUGUCGGGUAAGUUCCGACCUGCACGAAUGGCGUAAUGAUGGCCAGGCUGUCUCCACCCGAGACUCAGUGAAAUUGAACUCGCUGUGAAGAUGCAGUGUACCCGCGGCAAGACGGAAAGACCCCGUGAACCUUUACUAUAGCUUGACACUGAACAUUGAGCCUUGAUGUGUAGGAUAGGUGGGAGGCUUUGAAGUGUGGACGCCAGUCUGCAUGGAGCCGACCUUGAAAUACCACCCUUUAAUGUUUGAUGUUCUAACGUGGACCCGUAAUCCGGGUUGCGGACAGUGUCUGGUGGGUAGUUUGACUGGGGCGGUCUCCUCCUAAAGAGUAACGGAGGAGCACGAAGGUUGGCUAAUCCUGGUCGGACAUCAGGAGGUUAGUGCAAUGGCAUAAGCCAGCUUGACUGCGAGCGUGACGGCGCGAGCAGGUGCGAAAGCAGGUCAUAGUGAUCCGGUGGUUCUGAAUGGAAGGGCCAUCGCUCAACGGAUAAAAGGUACUCCGGGGAUAACAGGCUGAUACCGCCCAAGAGUUCAUAUCGACGGCGGUGUUUGGCACCUCGAUGUCGGCUCAUCACAUCCUGGGGCUGAAGUAGGUCCCAAGGGUAUGGCUGUUCGCCAUUUAAAGUGGUACGCGAGCUGGGUUUAGAACGUCGUGAGACAGUUCGGUCCCUAUCUGCCGUGGGCGCUGGAGAACUGAGGGGGGCUGCUCCUAGUACGAGAGGACCGGAGUGGACGCAUCACUGGUGUUCGGGUUGUCAUGCCAAUGGCACUGCCCGGUAGCUAAAUGCGGAAGAGAUAAGUGCUGAAAGCAUCUAAGCACGAAACUUGCCCCGAGAUGAGUUCUCCCUGAGACUUAGAGUCUCCUGAAGGAACGUUGAAGACGACGACGUUGAUAGGCCGGGUGUGUAAGCGCAGCGAUGCGUUGAGCUAACCGGUACUAAUGAACCGUGAGGCUUAACCUU